GUCCUUCCUCGCCUUGCACGUCACGAGCGACUCCGGAAGUCCAAAGCCCUUCCGUGUAUGGGGACGGGGAGAUAGCCGCCUGAGGCGUUUCGGCGUCUGACUCCCUCAUCGUCGAGGAGGGCGGAGAUCGCGCUCUAGUGGGAUGUUGGUAUAUUUGUAUCCUUUUGUUCUACCUCCACAAUGCCAACGAAAGUAAAUCUUGAUCUGCCUGUUCUUCUUGGUCGCUGAAACAAACCGCCUUAAUCCUGGCCGUGGUGGUGACUUCUUUAAAUGAAAAAGGGUGAAGCCCUUUUGUGCGUGUUUUCUGAAAAUGGCACUUGAGUUCGAGGUGAUAGGAAAAUUCAACAGAGCCCGUGCAGCAUGAUUAACGCUUCCUCACUUUUUAUGCCUGUUGGAACUCAAGCCACUCACCUGCGGACUGCUCGUUUCAUCGCAGCUCUUAUUCCUGAGGUUUGUAGAAAUUAUACACGAGUGACGAGCCUACUUACACUGCAUUGUGACGAAAGAUCCAAUGGGUUCCCAGCUAGUGUCUUAUCAUAAUUUGUCAUAUAUGAUGAGGGUAAAAUCUCUAGCUUGUGUCGAAGCUGACAUGUCCUUAUAAAGAAUUACCAGGUUUAUCCGCAUUGAUCCUUUUUGAAGUUAGUUGCCAGCAAUUACUUGUAAUCCAUCUUUCUACAGCUAAGCAAUUAUUAUCCGCAUUGAUUUCCAGGGUACGGUGAUUUUGUAUUUUUAAUAAUAUGUUCAAUUUAAUUCUUAAUUUACCUAGAAUUAAGUUUUUCUGACACCAAAAUAACUACAUGUCACCUGCAUGUGGAAUUUCUUCUCUUGGGCAGUGGCAGGGGUUUCUCAUCGGCUCACCUGCUUGCAUUUAAAGAACGACGACUGCCGUACAGGAUAUCAAGAAAUGAGAAAACAAAAUAAUUUCUUAUUGAAUCUCAAGUACAAAACAUUUUAGUACAUCAGACAGCCAGAGAGAGGUUAAAAGAAUAGCUCAGAAGCAGAUGCCUCGGUGAGCUUCAUCAAUGACAGUUGCAAACUAUAAUUUGAGUUUGAGCCUGAGCCUGAGCCUGAGCCUGAACUUGUGACUCAAAAUUCACUACCAACUCCUGCAUCAAAUGGCCUGAUGCUGUUUGCCAGUUCCAUUUCUUUGGAUGAAACUAGUUAGAUGACCAUUGAAUUCAGCAGAUCCAUAAAUGUGUCCCAUUUUUGCUCUUUUUGUCUCCAAGUAUCUCUUAUUCUCCUUGGUGAUUGGUGUCAGCAAGGGAACUCUGCCUGCAAUGCUCAAUCCGUAACCUUUGAGUC